AGCGAAGUAACUCACCGUUGUUGGCAUUGGUAUGUUUCACGAGCAAAGAUUUUGGAACGAAGCGAAUGACAUCAUGGAUCCUCCUAUUGCUUAAUUAAUGAAUUGUGCCGUAUGGAAAAAAUGAGUUUAUGGAAGAUUGUGGCAUAGCGUGAGAUAUUAAUUCCACGAAAACAAAAGUUCAAUUUAGAGAGGUUCUCUAUAAUACUUUAUCUUCAUAUAAUACAAUGUCAUAUUAAAUAGAAAAUACUGAUUUAUGCAUUUUAAAUAAUAUCAUAAUUUGGAUUGCGUUUGAUUAUUGCAUUUGAUAUAAUAUUCUUGUUGCAAGAUUGUAAUAUGGCUACCGCACAGUUGAACAGAGCCAGGACUAUAAAGAAGCUUGAAAAACCACGGCCGCUUAAGCUUAAUCAGCGCAACCCGACCGUCGAUGGGCGGAUCACGACUGUAGAGGAUAUAGUAUCCUUAAUCGACAAUGUUGCCAUGCAACUGACCAAUGGCUUCCAUGAUCGAACGCUGCAAAUGAAUGUGAUUUCUAUGUGCAGUCAUCUGAAGCUUUAUGCCAACCAAUUAGAAGCUAUUUACAAAG